rnacentral:lncRNA from 1 species
GUCAACGCGGACCAGUACACCCACGCCGACAAGAUCAUCUCCAACGCGUCGUGCACCACCAACGGCCUCGCGCCCUUCGCCAAGGUUCUCGACGACAAGUUCGGCAUCGUCAAGGGUCUCAUGACCACCACCCACUCCUACACCGGCGACCAGCGCAUCCUCGACGCGUCCCACCGCGAUCUCCGCCGCGCCCGCGCCGCCGCGCUCAACAUCGUGCCCACCUCCACCGGUGCCGCCAAGGCUGUCGCCCUCGUCCUCCCCCAGCUCAAGGGCAAGCUCAACGGCAUCGCGCUCCGCGUGCCCACCCCCAACGUCUCCGUCGUCGACAUGUGCAUCCAGACCGAGAAGAAGUGCACCGCCGAGGAGAUCAACGCCGCCUUCCGCGAGGCUGCCGAGGGCCCCAUGAAGGGCAUCCUCGCCGUCGCCGACGAGCCCCUCGUCUCCAUCGACUUCCGCUGCUCCGACGUGUCCACCACCAUCGACGCCGCGCUCACCAUGGUGAUGGGCGACGACCUCAUCAAGGUUGUGGCCUGGUACGACAACGAGUGGGGCUACUCCCAGCGCGUGGUCGACCUCGCGGAGCUCACCGCCACCAAGUGGGGCAAGUAAUCG